rnacentral:piRNA from 1 species
UGAACUGCCACUGAGAAACCAUGAGGUC